CCUACGGGGGGCUGCAGUGGGGAAUUUUGGACAAUGGGCGCAAGCCUGAUCCAGCCAUGCCGCGUGCGGGAAGAAGGCCUUCGGGUUGUAAACCGCUUUUGUCAGGGAAGAAAAGCUCUGGGCUAAUACCCCGGGGUCAUGACGGUACCUGAAGAAUAAGCACCGGCUAACUACGUGCCAGCAGCCGCGGUAAUACGUAGGGUGCAAGCGUUAAUCGGAAUUACUGGGCGUAAAGCGUGCGCAGGCGGUGAUGCAAGACAGAUGUGAAAUCCCCGGGCUCAACCUGGGAACUGCAUUUGUGACUGCAUCGCUGGAGUGCGGCAGAGGGGGAUGGAAUUCCGCGUGUAGCAGUGAAAUGCGUAGAUAUGCGGAGGAACACCGAUGGCGAAGGCAAUCCCCUGGGCCUGCACUGACGCUCAUGCACGAAAGCGUGGGGAGCAAACAGGAUUAGAUACCCCGGUAGUC
rnacentral:rRNA from 1 species